rnacentral:tRNA from 1 species
GGGCCCGUAGCUCAUCUGGUAGAGCGCUGCAUUCGCAUUGCAGAGGUGGUCGGUUCAAGUCCGAUCGGGUCCA